GGAGUUGUGGCUCAGAGGUAGAGCGCUCGCCUAGUAUAUGUGAGGCACUGGGUUCAAUCCUCAGCACCA
rnacentral:tRNA from 1 species